GCGUCGCCGAGUAUAUGAGCACAUGGUGUGGAUACCAUAACUCCAUCCCUCCCCACCCCCGCCCGACUUUUCCAACUUUGUCGUCUCUCCCCCUCUCCUUCGACAAAACGACCGAGCACUGAUUCCAACUGACGAACCAACCACCUUCUCCUCCUUCUUCUUCUUCACCUUCUUCACCUUCUUCUUCUUCAGUUCAUGGCCUGAACUGAGCCCUCCCCCUCGGCGCUUUCACCGAUGGACGCCCUCCCUCGCGCGGUCGAUCUCUGCAAAUUCCGGUCCCCGACCUCUCGCGCCGUCGUCGCGCCGCCGCGAAUCGUUGCUUCCCGGCCGCUGCUCCGCGUUUCCGGCGACCCCGGCUUCCCCGAUUCGUUGCUCCGAAUCCGAUUCUCGGGUGCUCCUCGCGAUUGGCGAUCUCGUCCCGUUGCCAAAGCUGGCGAUCACGACCACGGCCACGGCCAUCACCACCACCAUGACGACGACCACGAUCACGACCACCACGGCCACCACCACGGCCACGGCCACGGCCACCACCAUCACGGAGGCGACGCGAAGCCGGCUGGACCGCAGAGGGCGCUGGACGAGUUCGCCAGAGCAAUUGGAUGGGUGGACUUGGCGAAUUUGUUGAGGGAGAAUCUGCAGACGUGCUGUUGCUCGGUGGCUUUGUUUCUAGCCGCUGCUGCUUGCCCUUACCUGAUUCCGAAGCCGGUGGUGAAGCCGUUUCAGAACUCUUUGAUACUCCUCGCAUUUCCCCUCGUUGGAGUAUCGGCUUCCCUUGAUGCACUCACUGAUAUUGCGGCUGGAAGAGUAAACAUCCAUGUGUUGAUGGCUCUUGCGGGUUUUGCAUCAACGUUCAUGGGAAACCCCUUGGAAGGGGGCUUACUUCUGGCGAUGUUUAAUCUGGCUCAUAUUGCUGAGGAGUACUUCACCAGCCGUUCAAUGAUUGACGUGAGAGAGCUGAAGGAAAAUUAUCCUGAUUUUGCGCUUGUCUUGGAUGUGGAUGAUGAGGAAUCACCUAAGUUCUCUGAUUUAGCAUAUAGAAGUGUUCCCGUGCAAAAUGUGGCAGUCGGCUCCUAUAUCUUGGUUGGAGCUGGAGAGUCUGUGCCUGUAGAUUGUGAAGUUCUCCAGGGUAGUGCAACCAUAACCAUUGAGCACUUGACUGGAGAAGUCAAACCAUUAGAGGCUAAAUGUGGAGAUAGGAUUCCCAGCGGUGCAAGGAACUUGGAUGGUAGAAUAGUUGUAAAGGCAAUAAAGACCUGGAAAGAAUCAACACUGAGCAAAAUCGUACAGUUGACAGAAGAAGCACAACUCAAUAAGCCCAAGCUUCAAAGAUGGCUUGAUGAAUUUGGUGAGCAUUACAGCAAGGUGGUUGUAGUUCUAUCAAUUGCAGUUGCCAUUGUUGGCCCGCUCUUGUUCAAAUGGCCAUUGUUUAGCACCUCAGAUUGUCGAGGGUCAAUAUAUAGAGCAUUGGGCCUUUUGGUAGCAGCAUCGCCCUGUGCCUUAGCCGUAGCUCCGCUGGCCUAUGCUACUGCAAUUAGUUCCUGUGCAAGAAAGGGGAUAUUGCUGAAAGGUGGGCACGUCUUAGAUGCUCUAGCUUCUUGCCGCACUGUAGCAUUUGAUAAAACUGGGACAUUGACCACUGGCGGGCUAAUGUUCAAAGCAGUAGAACCAAUCUAUGGUCAUGGGAAAAGAGAAGACGAAUCAAAAAUUGUUUCUUGUUGCAAUCCAAGCUGUGAAGAAGAAGCUCUUGCUGUAGCAGCUGCAAUGGAGAAGGGUACCACACAUCCUAUUGGAAGAGCUGUCGUAGAUCAUUGUGUGGGGAAGGACCUUCCUUCCAUUUCUGUUGAGAGUUUUGAGUAUUUUCCUGGUAGAGGUCUUAUUGCCACUCUGAACAAUACGGAGGCAGGAAGUGGAGGUGGCAAAAGUUUGAAGGCAUCACUUGGUUCCAUCGACUUUAUAACUUCAUUUGUUAAAUCUGAAAAUGAAUCAAAGAAGAUAAAGGAGGCUGUUACUGCAUCUUCUUAUGGAAGGGAUUUAGUUCAUGCUGCUCUUAUUGUUAAUAAAAAGAUAACACUUAUUCAUCUCGAGGACAGACCUCGGCAAGGGGUUGCAGAAGUGAUUGCGGCAUUGAAAGAUGAAGCCAAUCUGCGUGUAAUAAUGUUGACUGGUGACCAUGAGUCAAGUGCAUGGAGAGUAGCAAAUUCUGUAGGUAUUGAUGAAGUUUAUUGUGGCCUGAAGCCUGAGGAUAAGCUUAAUUACAUAAGAAGCAUCUCAAGAGAUACAGGAGGAGGCCUUAUUAUGGUUGGUGAGGGUAUUAAUGAUGCACCUGCUCUUGCUGCUGCUACGGUGGGCAUCGUGCUUGCUCAACGUGCUAGUGCAACUGCUGUCGCUGUUGCUGACGUGCUGUUGCUGCGAGAUAACAUAUCGGGUGUUCCAUUCUCUAUUGCCAAGUCACGGCAUACAACGUCCCUGGUUAAGCAGAAUGUGGCUCUUGCUUUAUCUUGCAUAUUUUUGGCCUCCUUACCAUCUGUAUUGGGUUUUCUUCCCUUGUGGUUGACGGUCCUUUUGCAUGAAGGUGGUACCCUCCUCGUCUGUCUUAAUUCCAUUCGCGCCCUUAAUAAUCCUACUUGGUCAUGGAGGCAGGAUUUGUCGCACCUGCUUGGUGAACUGAAAGGAAGAUUUGAGACCUGGUUGAAAUCAAACCUCGACUCGACCAUAAUCCAGGCUACACAUUUGUGAAGUUCCUUUAACUAGCUAUCAUUUCCUUGCUCAUCAUCUCCUUGUGGAUUCGAACGUGAAGGAGCACUUGCAACAUCAAAGUGUAUAUCCUGUAAAAUUAGGGGAUCGGCAUAAUUAGCAGCUACCAGAGCUAGGAGCCCUGGAAGAACGAGGAAUUUGAAAGAGUUGUGCAUGGUCUGUGCAUAAAGAAAUUCAAAGAGAAGCGAACUCAUGUGUGGUGUUAUUCAAGCCCAUGGAGGAAUAAAGAGGAAUUAAAGAAGCUCAUUUUAUCCCUUUUGAUAAUCCGUGAAAAGGAUGUUGUGGCCGAUAUACUUUGCAGACAUCCCACACUGGCAGUGCCUCCCAUUAUUGGAGCUAGGAGUGUGAUUGUUCUUAAGUCAGUAGGAUCCAGACGCCGAACCUACCCUGUUCCCGGUUUUUGAAAAUUGGAUCUUACUAUUUGUCCAGGAACCUACCUUGCUUGUCCCAGUUUGGCUCCAGAGUCUAUCUGGAAACUGGUUUCUUUUUUUUU